AGUGAACGCUGGCGGUAGGCCUAACACAUGCAAGUCGAACGGCAGCACAGGAGAGCUUGCUCUCUGGGUGGCGAGUGGCGGACGGGUGAGGAAUACAUCGGAAUCUACUCUGUCGUGGGGGAUAACGUAGGGAAACUUACGCUAAUACCGCAUACGACCUACGGGUGAAAGCAGGGGACCUUCGGGCCUUGCGCGAUUGAAUGAGCCGAUGUCGGAUUAGCUAGUUGGCGGGGUAAAGGCCCACCAAGGCGACGAUCCGUAGCUGGUCUGGGAGGAUGAUCAGCCACAAGGGAACUGAGACACGGUCCAGACUACUACGGGAGGCAGCAGUGGGGAAUAUUGGACAAUGGGCGCAAGCCUGAUCCAGCCAUACCGCGUGGGUGUAGAAGGCCUUCGGGUUGUAAAGCCCUUUUGUUGGGGAAGAAAUCCAGCUGGCUAAUACCCGGUUGGGAUGACGGUACCCAAAGAAUAAGCACCGGCUAACUUCGUGCCAGCCGCCGCCGUAA
rnacentral:rRNA from 1 species